UUCGAGAACAGCAGUUAAUGGGAGAUUUACGGGCCCGCUCUUUCGUUAUAAAUAAACGAGGUCUGCUUCAGUUAAAGGAAUCGUCCGCCACGCGCUAGGGUUUCCGCAGUGCCCAAGGAUUUCCUCAGAGCCAAGCAAGAUCUUGGGUGACACUUUUCCUAGAAGAUAAAAACUCAAUUUAAAAGCAAUGGCUGGACGCAGAAACAAUAAUGGGAAAAGAUCUUACUCUCACUCUGAUCAUUCUGAAAAUGGAGGAAGCAAGAGAAGAAAUCCCGGUGAUGAAAGAGACACCUACAUUCCUGGGCAUGAGGAUACUGUUUUCCGUUAUUUAUGUCCAGGAAAGAAAAUAGGAAGCAUCAUUGGGAGAGGUGGCGAGAUUGUGAAGCAACUGAGAUCUGAUACACAAGCUAAGAUUAGAAUUGGGGAGACUGUACGUGGUUGUGAUGAGCGUGUCAUUGCCAUUUUUAGCACAAGGGAGGAAACCAAUAUAUUUGAAGAUAGUGAUGACAAAAUGUGUCCUGCUCAAGAUGCUCUAUUCAAGGUCCAUGAGCGACUUGUUACUGAUGAGGUAGUGGCCGAAGAAGAUAGUGAUGGAGAUAGUCCUCAAGUUACUGCUCGACUUCUUGUGCCUUCUGAUCAGAUUGGUAGUAUCAUUGGGAAAGGAGGACAAAUCAUUCAAGGAAUUCGUAGCGAUACUGGUGCUCAAGUCCGCAUUCUUAAGAAUGAUCGCCUCCCAGCUUGUGCCAUUAGUGGUGAUGAGCUACUCCAGAUCAGUGGAGAAGCAUCAGUUGUGAAGAAGGCUCUUCUUCAAGUUUCAUCACGUCUCCAUGAUAAUCCAUCUCGUUCGCACCACCUUCUAUUUGCCAGUUCACCAUCAGUGUUCCCUGGUGCUAGUCAGUUUGGAGUCUCAAGCAAUGCUGGCCCAUUAAUUGGUAUUGGCCCCUUGGUAGGUUCUUAUAGAGGUUAUAAAGGAGAAGCACCUGUAGAUUGGCUUUACCCACCUUCAAGAGAUGAAGGUGCUGCAAAGGAGUUCAGCUUACGUCUUCUCUGUCCUGCUGCAAACAUUGGAAGUGUAAUAGGAAAGAAUGGUGUGAUCAUUAACCAAAUAAGGCAGGAAUCUGGAGCUUCUAUUAAAGUAGAUAGUAACUCUGUUGAAGAUGACUGCAUAAUCACAAUUUCUGCUAAAGAGUUCUUCGAUGAUCCAAUCUCUCUCACAAUAGAUGCUGCAGUUCGCUUGCAGCCGCGUUGUAGUGAAAAAAGUGAAAAAGAAUCAGGUGAAUUUUCAUAUACCACCCGCCUUCUGGUAUCCACUUUGCAGAUUGGUUGCCUGAUUGGUAAAGCUGGAUCAAUCAUUUCUGAGAUGAGGAGGGCUACAAGAGCCAACAUACGUGUGCUUUCAAAAGAAAAUGUUCCGAAAGUUGCUUCUGAAGAUGAUGAGAUGGUUCAGAUUAGUGGAGAGAUUGACAUUGCAAGAGAUGCACUUGUCCAUGUGACAACUCGUCUAAAAGCCAAUUUAUUUGAAAGGGAUAGUACAUCAGCUGCACAUGGUUCUUCUGCUCCUCACCAUCGUUUUCCAGUUGAUGCUUCUGAUGGUCCAAAAUAUCAUGGAGGCAGGGAUAGUAAAUCACAUGGUCAUGGAUUUUCAUAUUCUGGUGGAUAUGGUACUUCCCGUAAUUUGCUACCGUCUGAUACUUAUGCAGGCUAUAGCAGUUCACAACUACCUUCAGGGUGGUGGUAGCAAUUAUAGUUCAUAUGAUGGAUACUCUUCACGUUAUGGAAACAUUGGGUUAUCUGGUCCCAACAGAUCCCAUGGGAAACAUCAUGAUUAUUAAAACCUCAGUGAGUAGGACCAACAGUUUAGGUCUGAGAAGCCUGGAGCCAGCCUAUAUAUGAAGCCUCAAGCCUAAACCAGACGACCAGAUGAACAAGUCUGAGAUGUUUAUCUCCCACAUAAAAUGAUGUUACCAUUUAUCUCCUACCUGCCCCUUGCUUUAUACCAGAACAUUACUGCAUAACCAUGGACCUAAGCUUCAAGCUUCCCAAUCAAGCUUUGUUUAAGGAUUAUUCAGCUGUUUGUAUUUUGAACCUUGACUGUCCUCUGUUGGUGAUCACUGACUAGCGUGCCUAUAUUUUAGAUAUUAUUUCUUAUUGAAACCUUUGUCGAAGGUUCCUACUGAUCUGUACCUUAUUGAUGUCCUAUUACAACGUUUAGAUUUACUUCCGCUGCUACCAUAUGGUCUGUGAGCAUUUAUUCUGUGCAAUUAGAUUGUUAUCUUGCCUCUC